GGAGGGGAGGUUUGCUGCGCAUGCGCAUGUGGAACUGGUGCGAUUAGUUGGUGUUGCUGCAGUGACUCAAGUGCAGAGUGGAGUGGUCGCCGGAGAUGCCUGACGGUCUGUACUGAGGAGCGGCUAGCAGCGCGAUGGAGCGGGCCAGGGACCGCUUACACCUGAGACGGACUACGGAACAGCACGUACCAGAGGUGGAAGUCCAAGUCAAACGUAGAAGGACAGCCUCACUGAGCAACCAAGAGUGUCAGCUGUACCCAAGGCGAUCUCAGCAGCAGCAAAUACCUGUGGUGGAUUUCCAGGCGGAACUGAGACAGGCAUUCUUAGCUGAGACACCAAGAGGUGGUUAAAGCAGUAUUGGAACAUCCAGGUAGCUGAUUUCCAAGUGAAAAAACAGCCUUCCCUUAGGUCUUAAGGAUCCUGAAACCUUACUGUGGACAUUGGAUUUGGUGGAACAGCAACCAUGACUGUGGGAAAGAGCAGCAAGAUGCUGCAGCACAUUGACUAUAGAAUGAGAUGUAUCUUGCAAGAUGGCCGAAUCUUCAUUGGCACCUUUAAGGCUUUUGACAAGCAUAUGAACUUGAUCCUCUGUGAUUG